AACUUUUAACAACGGAUCUCUUGGUUCUCGCAUCGAUGAAGAACGUAGCAAAGUGCGAUAACUAGUGUGAAUUGCAUAUUUAGUGAAUCAUCGAGUCUUUGAACGCAACUUGCAGCCAAUGGUAUUCCAUUGGCUAUGCCUGUUUCAGUA
rnacentral:rRNA from 2 species